GGGGGAUUAGCUCAGUUGGCUAGAGCACCUGCCUUGCACGCAGGGGGUCGCGGGUUCGAGUCCCACAUCCUCCACCA
rnacentral:tRNA from 1 species